UGCAGCUUUAAACGUCACCAGCGCUGGAAAAAAGAAUGCCUUUACCAAUGACGCUGUGCAACAUCUGUGGAUAAUACCGGCUUCCGUGUUGCUGGUGAUUGCUGUGAUCAUUGGGCUGUUUUAUGUUAAAUGGAGGAACAAAAAGAGAAAGCUGACUGAAAUCAUUUGAAGGCAGACUCCAUGACUCAUGGAUACUUCUUUCCUUUCAUAGUCUCACUUUUCUGUUGCAUGACCAAUUGUAUUUGCGUAUACUAUAUCUUUGACAGGGUGGCACGAAGACCCAUGUUUGAGCCUAAAGUCCAGGUUAGUGUCUGUGCAAAGUUUGGUAUGUUCUGUCAGUGUACUGGGCUUUCUCCAAGUAUAUCAGCUUCCUUUUCAUUCCAGUAGUAUGAUUGGCUACUUUAAUUUUUUUUUUUGGGCAUUAGUAUGUUUGAGUGAGUUAGCAGUUACUGAAUGAAUGAAUGAACAUAUUAAUAGCACAUGGUCUAAAUUCACGGUUGUUCACUGUAGCCUGAAUGUGGUUACUGAACUGAAGCUGACCUACUAGCUUAAAUCCUGUCAGUGCAGAUGAAUGGCAAAACUUCAUGAGUAACUUCUUAAAUCCUUUGACUUAAGUGCAUAUAUUCAGAUCAAACUGAAAUUAGAAUUGAAAUGUCUACUUCAAUCUGAUUUAGCUGUAUAGAUACGCUUAAAACAAAAUGUGUCAAGAAAGCGCAAAAACUUUAACCUGCAGUGUGGCCAUAGCCCAAUAUAAGCGAUGCAUAAUAAUAUAUUUUAUAUAUAAUCAAUAUUGCUGUAUAAUUAUAGAUAUAUACU